rnacentral:lncRNA from 1 species
CACGUGGGAUGUUAACCAGGGCCACCUAGCAGCAAAUGCCCAGGCUGCUUCCAGGACUGAUAUUAUGAAGCUUACAGCAGAGCGACUUGCCAUCAGGAAGGCUCCUGUCUGCCAAGACGCCAGCACGCCCUGCCACCAGCAAUAAUUGCCAACAAGAAUAGCAGACCGUGUAAGAUAAGAAAGAUUGUAAGCUGUUCAGCCAACUAGAAUCGUCUGUGCUAAUGACUGGCAGGCAUCACAGGUUCCUUAUUUCAUGGGACAACCAUCAGAAGCACCAUCUCAGAUGUGCUUGCCAUGAGGAUCAAAUGAGAUGCCAUGAGAAGAUGACACAAGACGUCCAAGCUCUGGGAAGCUGCUGUGAAAUCCAUACAGGGACAGGGAAGCUGUCAGAGGGAAUUUGGGGGCUAAUACUAGCCAGAAGCCAUACAGUGUAAAAGGAUGCUCUGACAGGCAGCUGACAGUGAGCAGCUCUGCACGGGGACGUUAGUUAAGAGGGCUUGUGGACUUAUAUUUUGUUUCAUCUGUGGAGGGAGGGGUAUGUAUGUGUGAGAGCAAGCAUGUGUGUGCUGCAGGAUGCUAAGGGCAGAGGACAGCCUCGGGUGUCAACAGUCUCCUUUCACUGUCUCUGAGACAGGGUCUCUGCUGUUUGCCUGUUUGCACAGGCACCAGGGUAACUGGGAGCUACGGGGAAUUCUCUCAUCUGCACUUCCCACCCAUCCCUCCACAGAAGCACCGAGAGUGCAGAGGUGUGUACUAUCUCAUGAGGUUCACAACGGGUU